rnacentral:rRNA from 1 species
GACGAACGCUGGCGGCGUGCCUAAUACAUGCAAGUUGAGCGAUGAAGAUUGGUGCUUGCACCAAUUUGAAGAGCAGCGAACGGGUGAGUAGCGCGUGGGGAAUCUGCCUUUGAGCGGGGGACAACAUUUGGAAACGAAUGCUAAUACCGCAUAAUAACUUUAAACAUAAGUUUUAAGUUUGAAAGAUGCAAUUGCAUCACUCAAAGAUGAUCCCGCGUUGUAUUAGCUAGUUGGUGAGGUAAAGGCUCACCAAGGCGAUGAUACAUAGCCGACCUGAGAGGGUGGUCGGCCACAUUGGGACUGAGACACGGCCCAAACUCCUACGGGAGGCAGCAGUAGGGAAUCUUCGGCAAUGGACGAAAGUCUGACCGAGCAACGCCGCGUGAGUGAAGAAGGUUUUCGGAUCGUAAAACUCUGUUGGUAGAGAAGAACGUUGGUGAGAGUGGAAAGCUCAUCAAGUGACGGUAACUACCCAGAAAGGGACGGCUAACUACGUG